rnacentral:rRNA from 1 species
CCUACGGGUGGCAGCAGUGAGGAAUAUUGGUCAAUGGUCGGGAGACUGAACCAGCCAAGCCGCGUGAGGGAUGAAGGUACAGAGUAUCGUAAACCUCUUUUGUCAGGGAACAAAGGCGGGGACGCGUCCCCGGAUGAGUGUACCUGAAGAAAAAGCAUCGGCUAACUCCGUUACAGCAGCCGCGGUAAUACGGGGGAUGCGAGCGUUAUCCGGAUUUAUUGGGUUUAAAGGGUGCGCAGGCGGUUGUUUAAGUCAGCGGUAAAAGCCCGGGGCUCAACCCCGGCCCGCCGUUGAAACUGGCAGUCUCGAGUUGGAGAGAAGUAUGCGGAAUGCGCGGGGUAGCGGUGAAAUGCAUAGAGAUCGCGCAGAACUCCGAUUGCGAAGGCAGCAUGCCGGCUCCACACUGACGCUGAGGCACGAAAGCGUGGGUAUCGAACAGGAUUAGAUACCCUAGUAGUC